CGCCAAAUAACUACGAGUCAUACUUAAAACUUAAAAGACUUGACGGUACUUCACCACGCCCUAGAGGAGCCUGUCUGAUAACCGACGACCCNAUAASCCAACCCCUCCUGCCAACAGUCUAUAUACCGCCCUCGCCGCCUACCUWGUAAAAGAAAUAAAGUAGGCUAAACAGUACCACACUAAAACGACWGGUCGAGGUGUAACUUAUGAAGGGGACUAAGAUGGGCUACAUUCUCCAACCGAGAAUACUAAUAACACUACGAAAUUAGUCUUUAAAGGCGGAUUUAGCAGUAAGAUAAGAAUAAAAUACUUAACUGAACAUAACGCAAUGAAGUGCGCACACACCGCCCGUCAUCCCUGCCACCAC
rnacentral:rRNA from 1 species